CCUACGGGAGGCAGCAGUGAGGAAUAUUGGUCAAUGGACGAGAGUCUGAACCAGCCAAGUAGCGUGAAGGAUGACUGCCCUGUGGAUUGUAAACUUCUUUUAUCUGGGAAUAAAACAGGGUAUGCAUACCCUCUUGUAUGUACCAUAUGAAUAAGGAUCGGCUAACUCCGUGCCAGCAGCCGCGGUAAUACGGAGGAUCCGAGCGUUAUCCGGAUUUAUUGGGUUUAAAGGGAGCGUAGGUGGAUUGUUAAGUCAGUUGUGAAAGUUUGCGGCUCAACCGUAAAAUUGCAGUUGAAACUGGCAGUCUUGAGUACAGGAGAGGUGGGCGGAAUUCGCGGUGUAGCGGUGAAAUGCUUAGAUAUCACGAAGAACUCCGAUUGCGAAGGCAGCUUACUGGACUGCAACUGACACUGAUGCUCGAAAGUGUGGGUAUCAAACAGGAUUAGAUACCCUAGUAGUC
rnacentral:rRNA from 1 species